UACGUAGGUGGCAAGCGUUGUCCGGAAUUAUUGGGCGUAAAGCGCGCGCAGGUGGUUUCUUAAGUCUGAUGUGAAAGCCCACGGCUCAACCGUGGAGGGUCAUUGGAAACUGGGGAACUUGAGUGCAGGAGAGAAGAGUGGAAUUCCACGUGUAGCGGUGAAAAUGCGUAGAGAUGUGGAGGAACACCAGUGGCGAAGGCGACUCUUUGGCCUGUAACUGAUACUGAGGCGCGAAAGCGUGGGGAGCAAACAGG
rnacentral:rRNA from 1 species